UCCCAGCAACCACUUAACCUGGCUGAGUGUUAGUCUUCCUAUCUAUCAAGUGGGGAUAAUGACACCUACCUCAGCUGGUGGCUGCCAGCUCUGAAUGAAACUACUGCAGGGAGGCCCACAGGAAGCCCUUGAUGCCCCUUCACUGUACUGUUAUCCGGAUGGGCAAGAGUCCUCAGUCUCUCUACCAGUCGUACCAAGACGUUCAUCCUAAGACCCAUCCUCCCAGCUCCCUAGAUGAAGCACCUGCUGCUCUCGCCGUUUGGUAAAUGAAUCCUUGUUCACGCCUGUGACACAGGAGCACUUUCUUUAAGAAGGCUAAAACUGGAUGAUUCAACACAAGGAGAGAGAGAUGUUAGAGUUGGAUGAAAAGAGAAGAAGAAACAUUAGCCAUGUGGAUUUCCUAAGACAUUUUCCCCUGAGUUGAACUUCACAUCUCUUCUUGCUCAGCAUAGAAUGAAUCAAAGCUCCUGAAAGGCAGCCUGGAGAAAGGGAGUGUGACAUGUGAGAAGGGUCUUGUUGGACCCGCUCUCCCAAAAGCACCCAUCAGCUGCAUCUUCUUCCAUGAAGAAGAGGACGAGAAAGGAGAGGCUGCUGAUUCUUCUAGGAAUCACCCUACCUUCCCAGACUCUGGACACAUGCCUUUCCCAUUAUGUGUUGAAAUGGAAGUAACAGGAGGUUCUGUGACUAUGGGGAGACGGAAACCGAAAGUACGGCCACUGAGGAAGAUUAAACUCAACUUGACCUCCAAGGCUGAUGGAUAAAUGAUGAUUAGAAAGAGGAUAUGCAUAUCUAAAUUGCAUUCUAUCUCUACUGCAGUCUAACGACAUUACUAAAAUUGCCGUUUGAUAAUCCAUCAAAGUGAAAAUGUGUCCACUUAUCUCCGGCUAUAAAAACAAUCAUUGAUUCAGUCUCUCAACAUGGGUACUGCCAGAUUGUCAUGGGCAGAUGGUCAGACUAUUGCACUGGAGUUGGAUCCAAAUCACCCCUGUGUUUCCUCUUUCUGUUGAUUUUUCCUCUUCUCUUCCUUAUCUCCCCAGUAAGUAUUUAUUAUGCUCCUGCUGUGUGUUUAACAAGAUCUGGUUUUCAGCUGUUCACCUUGCUGACUGGUGAUCUUGGCCGAGUCACUUGACAUCUUGGAGGCUUGAUUUCUCCUCUGAAAAAGCGGAA